AGAGUUUGAUCCUGGCUCAGGACGAACGCUGGCGGCGUGCCUAACACAUGCAAGUCGAGCGAAGAACUUAUCAUGAAACCUUCGGGUAGAUUGAUAAACUUCUUAGCGGCGGAUGGGUGAGUAACGCGUGAGGAACCUGCCUUCCACAAGGGGAUAGCCUCGGGAAACCGGGAUUAAUACCCUAUGACACUUAAGAUUCGCAUGAAUAUUAAGUUAAAGCGCUUAGCGGUGGAAGAUGGCCUCGCGUCCCAUUAGCUAGUUGGUGAGGUAAUGGCUCACCAAGGCAACGAUGGGUAGCCGGCUUGAGAGAGUGAACGGCCACACUGGAACUGAGACACGGUCCAGACUCCUACGGGAGGCAGCAGUGGGGAAUAUUGCACAAUGGAGGGAACUCUGAUGCAGCGACGCCGCGUGAGCGAUGAAGGCCUUCGGGUCGUAAAGCUCUGUCCUAUGGGGCGAUAAUGACGGUAGCCGAGGAGGAAGCUCCGGCUAACUACGUGCCAGCAGCCGCGGUAAUACGUAGGUGGCAAGCGUUGUCCGGAUUUAUUGGGCGUAAAGCGAGCGCAGGCGGUUUCUUAAGUCUGAUGUGAAAGCCCCCGGCUCAACCGGGGAGGGUCAUUGGAAACUGGGAGACUUGAGUGCAGAAGAGGAGAGUGGAAUUCCAUGUGUAGCGGUGAAAUGCGUAGAUAUAUGGAGGAACACCAGUGGCGAAGGCGGCUCUCUGGUCUGUAACUGACGCUGAGGCACGAAAGCAUGGGUAGCAAACAGGAUUAGAUACCCUGGUAGUCCAUGCUGUAA
rnacentral:rRNA from 1 species